AUAUGUAUGACUCCCUCUUGUGGAUGGACAUACACGUUUCAGUUUCAAGUUUUACUUGUCACAAGUAGAGUGAAAUGUUUAACUUGCAAGCCCUACCCAACAGUGCAGGAUUCAAUAUAAAAUAGUAUAACUAAUACAAAAUGUAGAACAUGAGAAAUAAGAAACAAGAGAGGAAGCUAUAUACAGGGUCAGUGCUAGUACCAAAUGGAAUACUGUGAGACAAGCAUUUAUAUAAAUGCAUAGUUUGGGAAACGGAAAAUGGCGGAGAGUAGUGCGGACGAAAUUGAGGAAAAGUUGGUAAAGCAACAGCUGUGCUGGAAUGCGAACAAAGUGUCAGUUCUGAUGGCAUGGAGCGGGAGGAUGAGGGUCAAGGACCGGAAUGGCCGGUAGUGGAAAGACAUAGGAAGAAGAGAGAUCAUGAUACAGAAAGCAGUGGAGCGUCUAGUACAUUCAUCCCAUAGAUUCCAAACCUAAUCCCAAUAUAUACUCACCACCCACAGUUGCUCUGUUCUUCUUCAUUAGCCUCAGCAUCCCUCAGUUCUUCACAUCCUAUCUCUUCUGCAGCAACUGUACAAUCAUAUCAUUGUGAAUUUGAUAACAACCACUCUGUGCUACCAUCCUCUCUAUAUUUUGUAACAGUCAGUGACCCGAGUCACAUUCUCCCUGUUUCUGUUGUCUAUGAUAUGGUACCUGUUCUCACAGUUUUCUACAAACCUUUGAAGGAUGCCUCCCUCACUUGAAAUGUGCUGCUCUAAUGUCAUGUCCAAAAGCCAAUUCCCUCUGGUAAAGAGCACCAUGGUGUGUCUCCAUACCCUCUGCUCAAGGAGGUGGUUCAGGUGUUCCUCCACUGUGUCUGCGUGCAGUAUGUGCAAGGAAAGCACAAGGAGGAAGGCAUGUGGGACACAGCAAGAGCAAUUUCCUGCUUGUCCUGUGCUGAAGUCACCGCAAACAAGUGAUUCCACCACCAGCCAGGUGUGUCUACCACAGUGGCCUGUCUGCCAGCAACAGCUGUCUGUCAGUUUACACACUGGGCCGUCCUCUUCGUUGUGUCAAACUCCUCCGCACCCAGGAUUGUGUUUCCUGCCAAGUUUUUGCCAGAAUGCCCUUCCCCAACAGCACAAGUUGAAGGUCUGCCUGUGAGAUGGGGUAGAGAGAAAUAAAGAAGAAACAUUGCUCAGAUCUUGUCCCUUGGACCUUGGAGGACUUUUGGUGUGGAUGAUGAUCAGGAAGCAGAUGUUCUUCUAAGGGACACCCUAGAGGCAGCAAGGUGGAGUGAACUCCAAACAUUUAAAGGCACCAUUUCCCUCCCUAGUGUAAUUGGGAUGGACGGGGAAGACCGCAUUACAACCCUUAAAGAACAACGGUUGUAUAAUGGCCUGGAUGAAGACGAAAAUAUUCCCCUAAAGGAACCAUUCAUGUUCUCGUUCCAGUUACAGAGACAUUAUGAGAUGUUCUAUGUGGAGGCAGUUGAGGAGCAGGAGUGAAGCCAUUUUUGAGGAGUGGUCAAACCUUGUUUUUGUCUGCUGUGUUAAUUGUUUCAAUUGUUAAUAAUGUUGUUUAGUAAA